rnacentral:rRNA from 1 species
ACUCAAAUGAAUUGACGGGGGCCCGCACAAGCGGCGGAGCAUGUGGAUUAAUUCGAUGCAACGCGAAGAACCUUACCUGGGUUUGACAUGCACAGGAUCCCAGCAGAGAUGUUGGUUCCCUUGUGGCCUGUGUGCAGGUGGUGCAUGGCUGUCGUCAGCUCGUGUCGUGAGAUGUUGGGUUAAGUCCCGCAACGAGCGCAACCCUUGCCCUAUGUUGCCAGCGCGUAAUGGCGGGGACUCGUGGGGGACUGCCGGGGUCAACUCGGAGGAAGGUGGGGAUGACGUCAAGUCAUCAUGCCCCUUAUGUCCAGGGCUUCACACAUGCUACAAUGGCUGGUACAGAGGGUGGCGAUAUCGUGAGGUGGAGCGAAUCCCUUAAAGCCGGUCUCAGUUCGGAUCGUAGUCUGCAACUCGACUGCGUGAAGUCGGAGUCGCUAGUAAUCGCAGAUCAGCAACGCUGCGGUGAAUACGUUCCCGGGCCUUGCACACACCGCCCGU